rnacentral:rRNA from 1 species
GACGAACGCUGGCGGCGUGCCUAAUACAUGCAAGUAGAACGCUGAAGAGAGGAGCUUGCUCUUCUUGGAUGAGUUGCGAACGGGUGAGUAACGCGUAGGUAACCUGCCUUGUAGCGGGGGAUAACUAUUGGAAACGAUAGCUAAUACCGCAUAACAAUGGAUGACACAUGUCAUUUAUUUGAAAGGGGCAAUUGCUCCACUACAAGAUGGACCUGCGUUGUAUUAGCUAGUAGGUGAGGUAACGGCUCACCUAGGCGACGAUACAUAGCCGACCUGAGAGGGUGAUCGGCCACACUGGGACUGAGACACGGCCCAGACUCCUACGGGAGGCAGCAGUAGGGAAUCUUCGGCAAUGGGGGCAACCCUGACCGAGCAACGCCGCGUGAGUGAAGAAGGUUUUCGGAUCGUAAAGCUCUGUUGUAAGUCAAGAACGAGUGUGAGAGUGGAAAGUUCACACUGUGACGGUAGCUUACCAGAAAGGGACGGCUAACUACGUGCCAGCAGCCGCGGUAAUACGUAGGUCCCGAGCGUUGUCCGGAUUUAUUGGGCGUAAAGCGAGCGCAGGCGGUUUGAUAAGUCUGAAGUUAAAGGCUGUGGCUCAACCAUAGUUCGCUUUGGAAACUGUCAAACUUGGGUGCAGAAGGGGAGAGUGGAAUUCCAUGUGUAGCGGUGAAAUGCGUAGAUAUAUGGAGGAACACCGGUGGCGAAAGCGGCUCUCUGGUCUGUAACUGACGCUGAGGCUCGAAAGCGUGGGGAGCGAACAGGAUUAGAUACCCUGGUAGUCCACGCCGUAAACGAUGAGUGCUAGGUGUUGGAUCCUUUCCGGGAUUCAGUGCCGCAGCUAACGCAUUAAGCACUCCGCCUGGGGAGUACGACCGCAAGGUUGAAACUCAAAGGAAUUGACGGGGGCCCGCACAAGCGGUGGAGCAUGUGGUUUAAUUCGAAGCAACGCGAAGAACCUUACCAGGUCUUGACAUCCCGAUGCUAUUUCUAGAGAUAGAAAGUUACUUCGGUACAUCGGUGACAGGUGGUGCAUGGUUGUCGUCAGCUCGUGUCGUGAGAUGUUGGGUUAAGUCCCGCAACGAGCGCAACCCCUAUUGUUAGUUGCCAUCAUUCAGUUGGGCACUCUAGCGAGACUGCCGGUAAUAAACCGGAGGAAGGUGGGGAUGACGUCAAAUCAUCAUGCCCCUUAUGACCUGGGCUACACACGUGCUACAAUGGUUGGUACAACGAGUUGCGAGUCGGUGACGGCAAGCUAAUCUCUUAAAGCCAAUCUCAGUUCGGAUUGUAGGCUGCAACUCGCCUACAUGAAGUCGGAAUCGCUAGUAAUCGCGGAUCAGCACGCCGCGGUGAAUACGUUCCCGGGCCU